CGAUCAGCAAUUGGACUGAGACACGGCCCAGACUCUACGGAGGCAGGCAGUGGGGGAUCUGCGCAUGGGCGAAAGCUGACGCAGCAACGCGCGUGCGGGAUGACGCUCGUGGUGUAAACCGCUUCAGCAGGACGAAAAUGACGGUACUGCAGAGAAGCCCCGGCUAACUACGUGCCAGCAGCGCGGUAAUACGUAGGGGGCAAGCGUGUCCGGGAUUCAUUGGGCGUAAAGAGCUCGUAGGCGGUUCAGUAAGUCGGGUGUGAAAGCUCCGAGCUCAACUCGGAGAGGCCACCCGAUACUGCUGUGACUUGAGUCCAGUAGAGGAGCGUGGAACUCCUGGUGUAGCGGUGGAAUGCGCAGAUAUCAGGAAGAACACCUGCAGCGAAGGCGGCGCUCUGGGCUGGAACUGACGCUGAGGAGCGAAAGCGUGGGUAGCAAACAGGAUUAGAUACCCUGGUAGUCCACGCCGUAAACGUUGGGCACUAGGUGUGGGGAGCCGUCAACGCUCUCUGUGCCGUAGCUAACGCAUUAAGUGCCCCGCCUGGGGAGUACGGCCGCAAGGCUAAAACUCAAAGGAAUUGACGGGGGCCCGCACAAGCGGCGGAGCAUGUUGCUUAAUUCGAGGCAACGCGAAGAACCUUACCUAGGU
rnacentral:rRNA from 1 species